AACGGCCAUAUUACGUUGAAACACCGGUUAUCGUACGAUCACCGAAGUUAAGCAACGUUGGGCCUGGUCAGUACCUGGAUGGGAACACCAGGUACUGUA